rnacentral:lncRNA from 1 species
GGAUAGUGACACUUACAUAUAAUUUCAGCACUCAGGAGGCUGAGGCAGGAGGAUCUCAAAUUGGAGGCCCGCCUGGACUACAUAGCAAGUCCAAGUCUGGUCUGAAUUACAGAGCAGGACCCUGUCUCAAAACAAAACAAGACAAGACAAGACAAAACAAAACAAAACAAAGCAGCAAGGCUGGCAGCAUGCAGCUGCAGAGUCCUGCCCUGCCUUACCAGCCUUUCCCUACCCCUGGUGAGUGCAGAGAGCAGGGAGCUGGGAACGCCUCUCUCGCGCGCCCUCUGCUGUGACCUCACAUCACUGCAGCACACCUGUCCCAGGCAGUGCGGGGCUGGUCGUCAUGGAGCUCCUCCCACCCCACCUUCGACCUCGGGGUUCCAUCCGGGGUGGCAGGCUGCCCGCAGGCCUCGUGCCACCUGCGCGUCCUGGGGACAGUCUCCCAGACUAGCUUUUGAACUCCUGCACGGUGGGCGACAGAGGCCAGGGUGUUGACACACGGGCGGCUGUCCCGGCCCAGAGCUGCCCAGGGGCUCUGUGCAGCGCUUCUGCCUGGUGCUAGGCGCCGCCGGGCACCUGCCAGGCCUGCGGGACGGAGGGAGCACUCCUGCCGCUCAGGACCACGGCUGUUCACAGAGGCCUCCGCGCACACACUUGACGCAGGUGGCCAGAUCUGUCCAGCUUUCAAAACACACCAUCCGCGGUGUGAGGACGGAGGGGAGGCGGUCCUGGGCCUGCCUGCCUCGCUGCGCAGUCCCUGCUCCUCGGUUCUGGCCAGGGAGAGUCCGGGAGUGGCCAGGAGGCUGAAGUUUGAGGCCCACAGUGGAAACAGAGGCUGGGGAAGGACCUUGGCCCUGUCUCCCGGGGCAGCCUGGCCGUCUGCCCGUGGGCACACCGUACCUCAAAGAGACAGCGGUGCAGCUUCCUUGAGGAUGAAAAGCAGGGCUUGUUAGCAACUUUUGCGAAAAGCAAGUGGCUGACAAGCCCAGACACACACAGGGCAUUCCAGCAGAGACAGAGGGGCAGACGCGUCCCCAGGAUAGCGCGGACAGGAGGGUCAGCAGGAUGCCAGAGGAACCAGCGCAGGAACCUGGGCUGGGAUGCAGCAGCACCGGAGCGAAGGAGCCGCGGCAGACCCCGCGGAGGACACGUGAAAGGGCGGCUGCGGCGGAGGCCUGACACGCUGUUCCUCCUUCCCGGCCUGCUCCCCGGCGUUCUGAGGCUCUUUCCGGUACAUUCCCUUUUCAGUCACCCGUUUCAGUUCGAAUUGCACUCUGUGCAAACAAGGAACUCUGACACAUGUCAGGAAACGGCUGUCCCAGCCACAACUUGGCAUUUCCUUUCUCUCUCUCUCCCUUUCCCUCCCCUUCCCUUUCCUUUCCUUCUUUCCUUCCUUUCUUUUUUUUCUUUCUUGUACUGAAGAUUGAACCUAGGGCUUUACACAUGCUAGGUAAACACUUGACUUGCUUUUCUGAUUGUUGGGACAAAAUACCUGACACCCAAAGUUAAGGAAGGAAAGGUUUACUUAGCUCACAGUUUGUGGAGGUUUCAGUCCAUAAUCAGGGUGGAGGUUUCAGUCCAUAAUCAGCUGGCCCCAAGGCAGGGUGGCAUGGCAGAGGAGCAACAGUUCAUGGCUGCAAGGACGACAAAAGCAACAAGAGCAAAAGGGAAGGAGCAAGCCUCUUUUCCUCCCUUACAUUGUAACCAGGCUACGCACCCUAGCGUGGGUGUAGCAUUCACAGCCGCAACCCCAGCACUAGACAAUGAACCAACUGCAAACUCUAGAUUCAGCCGCCUCUGAAAAGCCUUCCCCCCUUGACUAUAUGAGGCUUUGGGGGGGUCAUCUAGACAUAAACCAUAACAAAACUCUACUGCUGAGCUACACCCCCAGCCCUUUUAAUUUUUAUUCUGAGACAGGGUCUCACUAUGUUGCCCAGGCUAGCCUCAAACUUGUGAUGUUCCUGCCUCAGCCUCCUGGGUAGCUUGAAUUGCAGGUGUGCACCACCAUGCCUGGCUGGCAUUUUCUCCUAGUAAACAAUGACAUACUAUACAGCUUCAGAUUCCUGGGUGAAGCAGCCUGUUCAGCCGGCUCAUGUCAGCUAUCCUCUCAUGUCCACUCGGCUGGGCCUCGGAAGAAGGCAGGGUGUCAAGAUGCAAGUCGGUGGGGGAGGCUGGCACAAUGUGUGUCCACAUGCAGUUCUGAGGACUGUGCGGGUGCAUUUCUGAGGGGUCCUAGUCAUACUGUAGACACUGAAAAUGCCUCUAGUCAGAAUUUUAACAGGUGGCAGUAAAGUAUGCUGAGAAAGGAACACAAUCCUUAUGUAAGGGCUCCACAGGGUAGUGGUGACCCCAGGCUGGGCUCGCUUCUCAACUAGCAAAGCGCUAGUUCUCAGGGAAGAUGGCGUGGUUUAGCGCUGUGAUACUGCAGUGAAAUACCAGAAAGAGGGCACCUGUGAAGAAAGGUUUAAGGUUUAUUUAGCUCACACAUCUGGAGGUUCAGAUUCAAGAUCAGGCAGCAGAGAGAGAGAGGGGCGGGGAGAACACUCCCGCUUCUUUGUAUCUGUCUAACUGCUUCUUUUUUUUUUGGUACCAAGACUCGAACUCAGGACCUUGGGCUUGCCAGGCAGGUGCUUGUGCUAUAUCCCUGGCCCCUGUCUGUCUAACUGCUUCUGACCACAGCUUUCAGAGCUGCUUUACUCCCCUGCCUCAGCAGACUGGGAGGAGACAGCCAGGGUGGCGGCAGCGGGCGAGCUCAGUGGAACCCUUGCCCAGCAUGUGUGUGGCCCUGGGCUGAUCCCCAGCACUGUGGAAAAGAAGACGACCCAGAAAGUAGCUCCCUCCCAGACGCACACCACCAGACAAAGGCAUGAAACCCCGGGAAAUGAGCUCACGAAGAAAAAUAAGGCACCCGGGUCAUGUGAUGUCUGUAAAAGAAAUCUAAAAAAAUGAGGAAGAGAAUUAAUGGACUAGUGAGAACAAGAAUUUGAAGUAAUCAUAAAAACAUCCUAUAAGAGAAAAUGGAGAUCAUUAUAUAUUUGGAACAGGAAUGAUACCUAUAAAGAAGUUAUCAAGUACAGAAGAAUAGCUGGGACACAAAGUUUAGUGUGUAAGUGGAGUAGGAAAUAGAUUCAGACUAAGAAUCAAUUCCUAAGCUGGAAGGUAAGCCUGCAAACUCUCCCAGAAUGUGUCAGGAAGGAAUAAAGGGGUAAAAAGUACAAGGGUAAAGUGACUAAAUCCAGAAGAUAGACAUGUCUCCAAAAUGGGAGUUCCAGAAGAGAAGGGAGAAAAUCUGGAAGUAAAUAUCUGAAAAAUAGUAACUAAGUGAAUUCCCAGCUCUGAAGGUGUCGGUCAGUGGUAAAAUGUGUGAUUCUAAUGCACAAACAAAACAAAACUGAAAAACAAAUUCCUAGACUUCCCAGAAUUACAGACAGGAUACUAAGAAGAUAGGUGAGGAAAAAAAACAAUAACACUGGAGAGCAGCAUAGUAAAAUUU